UCGUUUAUACAGAGAGAGGAGGGAGAGAGAGAGAGAGAGAGAGAGAGAGAGAGAGAGAGCGGAGCUAGAGAGAAAAGGAGGAGGAAAGAAGAAAAAUUGUAAGAAUGAUAUACAGGAAGUGGAGUCUGCUCACCGGCCCCACCGCGGUACUCGCUGGAAUAGUGGGGACCGUUAUCGUCGCCGAUCUCCUCUUCGUUGAAAAUGAUUGGUUACGUAAGGCAGACCAGAGGAAGCAAGAGACAGCACCUUCAACCAAGUAGAAGAUACUACGUUCAUCUUAUCUGUGACCCAAGUCUGUCUAAUGCUCUCUAUUCAUGAGAUGUUUGCUACAGAUUUGCUACUUGCUGCUUAAACCAAAAAAUAUUCCUUUGAAUAAACUGUAGUUUUGAGACAGAAAUUGUAGUUGAAAAAACUUCUGUUUCCUGGGGGAAGUUGAAACUCAGGAUCUUUGUGUUAUCAAUAUGUUGCUUCUCCAU